GACGAACGCUGGCGGCGUGCUUAACACAUGCAAGUCGAACGGAAAGGCCCUGCUUUUGUGGGGUGCUCGAGUGGCGAACGGGUGAGUAACACGUGAGUAACCUGCCCUUGACUUUGGGAUAACUUCAGGAAACUGGGGCCAAUACCGGAUAGGAGCUCCUGCUGCAUGGUGGGGGUUGGAAAGUUUCGGCGGUUGGGGAUGGACUCGCGGCUUAUCAGCUUGUCGGUGGGGUAGUGGCUUACCAAGGCUUUGACGGGUAGCCGGCCUGAGAGGGUGACCGGCCACAUUGGGACUGAGAUACGGCCCAGACUCCUACGGGAGGCAGCAGUGGGGAAUAUUGCACAAUGGGCGGAAGCCUGAUGCAGCAACGCCGCGUGCGGGAUGACGGCCUUCGGGUUGUAAACCGCUUUCGCCUGUGACGAAGCGUGAGUGACGGUAAUGGGUAAAGAAGCACCGGCUAACUACGUG
rnacentral:rRNA from 1 species